AGAGAAAGAGAGAGCACAGAGGUAUACAGCAUGUGAAACUUUGGACUGCUCAAAGAAGACAUUUUCAAACAUAUCUUUUCAGGACUGUCAAUAGGAACCGUAAGUGAGUUUCAGGUUCGCUCAUCUAAUUGUAGCAGUUAACUGACUGACAAGGUGAAGAAGGAUUGUGGUUUUCUGUUUCAGAUGGAAAAACUAAAAACAUAAGAGAAUCUCACAAUUAUCCACAUAUGCCCCAAAAGUUCAUACUACAGAAG
rnacentral:lncRNA from 1 species